AGAGUUUGAUCCUGGCUCAAGAUGAACGCUAGCGACAGGCUUAACACAUGCAAGUCGAGGGGCAGCGGGGGCGUAGCAAUAUGCCUGCCGGCGACCGGCGCACGGGUGAGUAACACGUAUGUAACCUGCCCUAUGCAGGGGGAUAACCCGGAGAAAUCCGGCCUAAUACCGCGUAACACCUUAGGGGAGCAUUCUCUUGAGGUUAAAGGAGAGAUCCGGCAUAGGAUGGACAUGCGUCGCAUUAGGUAGACGGCGGGGUAACGGCCCACCGUGCCGACGAUGCGUAGGGGUUCUGAGAGGAAGGCCCCCCACACUGGUACUGAGACACGGACCAGACUCCUACGGGAGGCAGCAGUGAGGAAUAUUGGUCAAUGGCCGAGAGGCUGAACCAGCCAAGUCGCGUGAGGGAAGAAUGUCCUAAGGAUUGUAAACCUCUUUUGUCGGGGAGCAAAAAGGCUCUGCGGAGUCGUAUUGAGAGUACCCGAAGAAAAAGCAUCGGCUAACUCCGUGCCAGCAGCCGCGGUAAUACGGAGGAUGCGAGCGUUAUCCGGAUUUAUUGGGUUUAAAGGGUGCGCAGGCGGCGUGUCAAGCAAGCGGUAAAAUAGCGGGGCUCAACCCCGUCGAGCCGUUUGAACUGGCGCGCUUGAGUUCAGGCGAGGUAGGCGGAAUUCGUGGUGUAGCGGUGAAAUGCAUAGAUAUCACGAAGAACUCCGAUUGCGAAGGCAGCUUACCAGUCUGCGACUGACGCUCAGGCACGAAAGUGUGGGUAUCGAACAGGAUUAGAUACCCUGGUAGUCCACACAGUAAACGAUGAG
rnacentral:rRNA from 1 species